CAGGACAUGUCACAGGCAACUGUGGACAACAGGCCAUGUGCAUGCAGGCUGAGGGGACAGAUGCUGUAGGAGUUCAGAUGUGCAGGAGGCCAUCGUGGCCAGACGUGGUCAGGGAUGGCUUCACGGGCUGAUUACGGCACCAGCCAGAUGAUUUACGUGACUGCAUCAGACAGCUAAAUCGCGGUCGCUGGCCUCUCUAACACGUGGGGAGCUCGGCUAAUCUUACCAUUAGUGGGUUGCAGGGCCUCAGCAGCAGCGGCCUGCCACAGAGGGCUGACUCUGCCUGUCUCCAGCUCAGCAGAUUCAGUCACUCAUUAAUUCAGCAAAUAUUUAUUGACUCUCUGGGGUGUGCCUGGUGCUGUGGCCAUGAACAAGACAUCCAGAAGCCCAAGGAGACGAAGAAACGCUCUGACUUGGGACCCAGGAGCCCUGCCUCUGCCGGCUACUCUCUAAGUAACUUUGGACGUGUAUUCAACCUUCCCUGGGCUGCAGUCUCCCCAUCAGUGGAGUCAGCACCUUGACCUUGAAGAUCACCAAGGUCCCUUCAGAACCCCCAGAAGAAAGACGAUUCUGGCACACCAGGCACUCCUAAAAUUUCAAUCCUCACUUCAAGUUUAUUUUCUGUCUUUUGCCUUUACUGCUGGCUGGGUUACUCUUGCCGUAAUUUAUUUAACUGAGCUGUGCUAAGCAGUUUGGAACUGAGUUUGCAUGAAUCACUGUCCAUAAAAUCAAGUUAAGUGGAUUUCAUUCCACACGGAACACCUGUGUAUAUACUCAGGGAGAAGAAGCUGUGUUUUCUUGGCCCUUCCAGACCCCUGUUAGAACUGCUUCCUUACAGAGAUAGGACUCACCCUGUAUUUAUAGUCCAUUGUUAUGACAGCCUCCUUCAGAGAACUGAAGGUAAAGUGCUGGAUGCAAUUUUUACUUCAGAUCAUUUUACAUAGCUUCCCUGUUUCUCUCUCUAGCUGGAAAAGCUGACAUUGAUUUCUUCUAUUGUAUCAGAGUUGGCAAAUAUCAGAUUCAACUUCAUUCAGUCCUUCAGCAAAUAUUUAUUGAAUGUUAUGUGAAGUCACAGGGAGCUAGGUAUAGGGGUGGGGGUUAA